GAGGGCCUAGUUCAAAUGUAGAAUAUAAGCCUGUCUAGUUUAAGAUACACUAAUAAGUGUGGCCCUCU
rnacentral:tRNA from 1 species